rnacentral:misc_RNA from 1 species
GAUGAAGAACGCAGCGAAAUGCGAUAAGUAGUGUGAAUUGCAGAAUUCAGUGAAUCAUCGAAUCUUUGAACGCACAUUGCGCCCCUUGGUAUCCCGAGGGGCAUGCCUGUUCGAGCGUCAUUUCACCACUCAAGCCUGGCUUGGUGUUGGGCGACGUCCCCUUUGGGGACGCGCCUCGAAACGCUCGGCGGCGUGGCACCGGCUUUAAGCGUAGCACAAUCUUUCGCUUUGGAAGUCGGGGCCCCGUCUGCCGGAAGACCUACUCGCAAGGUUGACCUCGGAUCAGGCAGGGAUACCCGCUGAACUUAAGCAUAUCAAUAAGCGGAGGA